UGGGGAAUAUUGCACAAUGGGCGCAAGCCUGAUGCAGCCAUGCCGCGUGUAUGAAGAAGGCCUUCGGGUUGUAAAGUACUUUCAGUCGGGAGGAAGGUGGUAAGGUUAAUAACCUUAUCAAUUGACGUUACCGACAGAAGAAGCACCGGCUAACUCCGUGCCAGCAGCCGCGGUAAUACGGAGGGUGCAAGCGUUAAUCGGAAUUACUGGGCGUAAAGCGCACGCAGGCGGUUGAUUGAGUCAGAUGUGAAAUCCCCGGGCUUAACCCGGGAAUUGCAUCUGAUACUGGUCAGCUAGAGUCUUGUAGAGGGGGGUAGAAUUCCAUGUGUAGCGGUGAAAUGCGUAGAGAUGUGGAGGAAUACCGGUGGCGAAGGCGGCCCCCUGGACAAAGACUGACGCUCAGGUGCGAAAGCGUGGGGAGCAAACAG
rnacentral:rRNA from 1 species